AGUCUAUGAUAUGGGCAUUGUUGCAACAGUCCCUUGAAUCUGUCCCAUGCCUCUAAUAAGGACUCUCUAUUUUUCUACAUGAAACUCAUGAUGAGGUGUCUCAAGUGU